rnacentral:lncRNA from 1 species
CGUGCCGUCCUCGUCUCUGCACACGGCCCGCCCGCCGAGCUGAGGUGUCAGGCGCAGCCGUGUAUGUUUCCUACCAGGGACGCUGCUUUGAAGUGCCGGGUGGGAGGCCUCUGCACUCGGCCCCCUAGGAGCAAGUGAAACUAGACUGAGCACAAAGGAGAAGAGAAGGAAAAAAAAGAUGUCAUAUUAGUGGCCUUGUUGUGGCCGUGUUUUCACAGAGGAAAGAAGCAGAUGAAUUCAGCAGAAUUGGAGUCCAGUUCUCUAGGAAGCACCUCCUGGUAAUCUCUGGCCACCCUGGAGUUGUCAUCCCUGCAGAUUAUUGAAAUGGCUCGCCUAUGCAGCUGGCUAGGAUCCAAUUUGGCUACAGCCCGCCCUCGCUGAAGUCCGUGUUCAGUUCAUCUCUCUGGUAAUCCUCUGACUCUACUCUUGGAUUUAGUCCAAGUAUCUCUCUUGUUCUUAAUGAGUUCCAGGACGGAAGAUUCCACAGCCUCCUCUGACAGCUUAUAUUAUAGUGCUUUAUAAUACUGUCAAGAAAUGCCUAUUUCUACUACAACUCAUUUCCUCUUUUUCUAAAUGAGUGAAAAUAGAGAUGAGACCACCGCUGUCUUCUCUCCUGGUAGCCCUUGUGUCCUAUGAUCCUGUGAAGGUAGUUUAGUGCGUUAGCCCUCAAGUUUCUUUCUGGAAAGUGUAGGGGAAUAUAUCUUUGUAUGUUCCCAAUCUGAGGCACUAUUAAAUGUGAAUGAAUCAACUCUCUUGAGAGUUGAAGUGAUUCUUUUGGGUACUUGUUCCAGCUGAGCUGUUAUCUCACAAAGACUUGUUUCUUUUCCUAGUUGGCAUUCAUUUAAUACUUUCACAUAAGCCUGAGGAGGGCUGACAGUUUAUUUUCCUGAUGAUUGGGCAAAGCUCAUUGUUCUGACACUAACCUGUCUGCUUAAUAUCCAGCUCUUUGAACCCAUGUCUGAUCCUCAGUUCUGGAACCUUGCCUCCUGUUUGCAGUAUGGUCACUUCAAGGUCUAUGGCUUAUAUUGAC